AUACGGAGGGUGCAAGCGUUGUUCGGAAUCACUGGGCGUAAAGGGCGCGCAGGCGGUUUGGUAAGUCAGAUGUGAAAGCCCACGGCUCAACCGUGGAAGUGCAUUUGAAACUGUCAGACUUGAGUACUAGAGUGGAAAGUGGAAUUCCCGGUGUAGAGGUGAAAUUCGUAGAUAUCGGGAGGAAUACCGGUGGCGAAGGCGACUUUCUGACUAGAUACUGACGCUGAGGCGCGAAAGCGUGGGGAGCAAACAGGAUUAGAUACCCCGGUAGUCC
rnacentral:rRNA from 1 species